AGCUGGAUAGCUCAGUGGGUUAGAGUGUGGUGCUGAUAACGCCAAGAUUGCACAUUUGAUCCCUGCAUAUUCCUGUAA